rnacentral:rRNA from 1 species
GUAGGUGGCGAGCGUUGUCCGGAAUUAUUGGGCGUAAAGCGCGCGCAGGCGGUUCUUUAAGUCUGAUGUGAAAGCCCACGGCUCAACCGUGGAGGGUCAUUGGAAACUGGAGAACUUGAGUACAGAAGAGGAAAGCGGAAUUCCACGUGUAGCGGUGAAAUGCGUAGAGAUGUGGAGGAACACCAGUGGCGAAGGCGGCUUUCUGGUCUGUAACUGACGCUGAGGCGCGAAAGCGUGGGGAGCAAACAGGAUUAGAUACCCUGGUAGUCCACGCCGUAAACGAUGAGUGCUAAGUGUUAGGGGGGUUUUCCGCCCCCCUUAGUGCUGCAGCUAACGCAUUAAGCACUCCGCCUGGGAGUACGGCCGCAAGGCUG